rnacentral:lncRNA from 1 species
UUCUUCAUAUAAACGAAGAAGAAGAUGAAGAAGAACCCUUUGUUCAAAAACAUAAGAAAACCAUAUGUAUAUUUUUGACGUUUAUAAAAAAACGUUUUAUUAAUUUACAAGUUUUUAACGUUUUUAAAAGCGUACAAGAGAAUGGAGAAGAAAAAAAAAUAUUUGUAUCCAUGCAUAAUCACCUUUAGGCGGAUAUGAAAGAACAUCAACCAAAUCGUCCUGAAAGUGUUACAGCAGUUGAAAAUAAUAAUGUGUACCAGUUUAUACAUAUCAAUUACAAUCGGUUCCGAGAGAUAAAUAUUUGAAUUAUUCUGGUGUUUACUUCGAAAAUUCAAGCCAAUGACAAGCGUAUACGGUUGAGUCACGCCUAUACAAGGACCUAUUGUACAGCUAGAAUGUAGGAAAAGAUGAUAGACAAGCAAUUUUCAAUUGUUAUACACUACAACGUAGAAAUCUGAAUAACUACGUUUAAAUUAAGUAUAAAAAGCAAGGAAAAAGUCAUAUUACAUUCCUAUGUUGGUAUUUUAAUACUUUAAACUGACCUACGGAGGUUUAUUUACUACUUGUAAGAAGGUAAUAUCGGUUGUGUAAUUUGGUUGUUAAGAUAAUUCGUUGCUCCUGAAGUAGGUUUUAAAAUAGCAGACAAUUCAAACACGUUAUGAGAAUACCUUAAACUAAUCAAAAUUAACCUGUUAAAUAGCCUCAAACUGAAUUACUAAACCUCAA